UACGAGGGGGGCGAGCGUUGUUCGGAAUCACUGGGCGUAAAGAGUGCGUAGGCGGUUAUGAAAGUUAGAAGUGAAAGCCCAGGGCUCAACUCUGGAAUUGCUUUUAAUACUCCAUGACUCGAAUUCGGGAGAGGAUAGCGGAAUUGUCAGUGUAGCAGUGAAAUGCGUAGAUAUUGACAGGAACACCGGUGGCGUAAGCGGCUAUCUGGACCGACAUUGACGCUGAGGCACGAAAGCGUGGGGAUCAAACAGG
rnacentral:rRNA from 1 species